rnacentral:rRNA from 1 species
UGGGGAAUCUUCCACAAUGGGCGAAAGCCUGAUGGAGCAACGCCGCGUGUGUGAUGAAGGGUUUCGGCUCGUAAACACUGUUGUAAGAGAAGAAUGACAUUGAGAGUAACUGUUCAAUGUGUGACGGUAUCUUACCAGAAAGGAACGGCUAAAUACGCGCCAG